GAAAUAAAUUUUAGAGUAACAUUAACUAUUCAAGCAUGUUUAAUAUUACCAUGCCUUAAAAUAGUAAUGAUGACUAUGUUUUCAAUAAUAACUACUAUGAUUGUCUAAAAAUUACCAUGAUUUGACAACCUGACAAAUAGUAACCAGUACCAUCAAACGUAGUUACUUUGAUUGCACAGUUUUUGUUCGGUAGAACUAUAUUUAUGCUUGCAUUUACUAUGCCCAUAGUUAAAACAGCGACUUCAGCGAUUUUUGAAGAAAUUUCUUCAAGUGGCCAUCUUUAGUUUGUUUAAUUUGCUGUAAAAUGUGUCCACGGGAUCAAUCCGCUGCUCUCGCCACUGGUAACCGGCAAACCCGAAUUUAUCUCCAGCGCUUCCGGACACAAAACCAGAAAUCGAGGUGCUUCAAAUGAAGUCGUAUCAGGAGCCUCCGUUUCUUUCAAUGGCAAUACGAUUGGCACCCAAUACGAUAUCACGCGAUAUUGCCACUUUUCCGCCAGAUUAAAGGAUCCCUCCACCUACCAUGCAAACUCCAAGGCGGUCCCCGAAAUCACCAGCUCAAAGUACACAAAUUGCCAGUACACGGAACUCCUGCAGCGGUCCCAGAUGGGUAUUUUCGUCAAUAUGUAAUUAAUUUUCUCCUUGGAGAAGCUGGUGCCGCAUCUGUCACAGCAGCAGCUCCCGGACAUCGUCGCCCUAUUCCAUAUAGAUUCCCCACAGAACAUUCAACCGAAUCCGGAUACUAUCUGCUGCCGGUUCCUUCCUCAGGCCCUUAUUCAAAAACCGCGAGUAGCCCAUCUUCAUCACUGCGGUCAUCAUGAGUGUUUAUUAUAUAUAAUAUAUUGUUCUAUAUUGUUCUUAAUUAAAGCAAUAAAUUCAAAGAAAUUUGUUUCA